rnacentral:misc_RNA from 1 species
AAGACUAUAGACCUGCGGAGUACCUGCGGAAGGAUCAUUAUCGUAGGGCUUUUUGUCCUGUCGAGAUAGCGUCCUUGCCUAUUUUUUGGAGUACCUUUUCGUUUCCUCAGCAGGCCUGCCUGCUACUGGGGACCCUUAAAACUCUUUGUAAAUACAGCAAUCGUCUGAAAUAAAAAACAAAAAAUCAAAACUUUUAACAAUGGAUCUCU